rnacentral:rRNA from 1 species
UACGAAGGGGCUAGCGUUGUUCGGAAUCACUGGGCGUAAAGCGCACGUAGGCGGAUGUGUCAGUCAGGGGUGAAAUCCCGGAGCUCAACUUCGGAACUGCCCUUGAUACAGCACGUCUUGAGUCCGAUAGAGGUGGGUGGAAUUCCCAGUGUAGAGGUGAAAUUCGUAGAUAUUAGGAAGAACACCGGUGGCGAAGGCGGCCCACUGGAUCGGUACUGACGCUGAGGUGCGAAAGCGUGGGGAGCAAACAGG